UACAGAGGGUGCGAGCGUUGUUCGGAAUUACUGGGCGUAAAGCGCACGUAGGCGGACUGUUAAGUCGGGGGUGAAAUCCUGGGGCUCAACCUCAGAAUUGCCUCCGAUACUGGCAGUCUCGAGUGCGGGAGAGGUGAGUGGAAUUCCCAGUGUAGAGGUGAAAUUCGUAGAUAUUGGGAAGAACACCAGUGGCGAAGGCGGCUCACUGGCCCGUAACUGACGCUGAGGUGCGAAAGCGUGGGGAGCAAACAGG
rnacentral:rRNA from 1 species